rnacentral:rRNA from 1 species
CAAUAGCGUAUAUUAAAGUUGUUGCGGUUAAAAAGCUCGUAGUUGGAUUUCUGCCGAGGACGACCGGUCCGCCCUCUGGGUGAGUAUCUGGCUUGGCCUGGGCAUCUUCUUGGAGAACGUAGCUGCACUUGACUGUGUGGUGCGGUAUCCAGGACUUUUACUUUGAGGAAAUUAGAGUGUUUCAAGCAGGCAUACGCCUUGAAUACAUUAGCAUGGAAUAAUAAGAUAGGACCUCGGUUCUAUUUUGUUGGUUUCUAGAGCUGAGGUAAUGAUUAAUAGGGACAAUUGGGGGCAUUUGUAUCAACACGCUAGAGGUGAAAUUCUUGGAUUGUGUUGCGACAAACUACUGCGAAAGCAUUUGCCAAGGAUGUUUUCAUUGAUCAAGAACGAAAGUUAGGGAUCGAAGAUGAUUAGAUACCAU